rnacentral:siRNA from 1 species
GUUGUCCUGAAAAAUUGAGUCUCC